AUUGAACGCUGGCGGCAUGGUUAAAGCAUGCAAGUCGAACGCGAAAGUGGCUUCGGCCGCGAUUAGAGUGGCGAAAGGGCGAGGAAUACGUUUCUAACGUGCCCCAAGGUCGAGGAUAGCUCGGAGAAAUCCGGGGUAAUACUCGAUGAUCCUGACCGAUCGCGUGGUUGGUCAGGCAAAGGUUUACCGCCUUCGGAUCGGGAAACGCCCUAUCAGCUUGUUGGUGAGGUAACGGCUCACCAAGGCUUAGACGGGUAGCGGGUGUGAGAGCAUGGCCCGCCGCAUCGGGACUGAGACACUGCCCGGACUCCUACGGGAGGCUGCAGCGACGAAUCUUCUGCAAUGGGCGAAAGCCUGACGGAGCAAUGCCGCGUGCAGGAUGAAGCCCCUCGGGGUGUAAACUGCUGUCAGGGACUACCAACACAAUGAGGAAUCCCAAAGGAAGGACCGGCUAACUUCGUGCCAGCAGCCGCGGUAAUACGAAGGGUCCAAGCGUUAAUCGGAGUAACUGGGCUUAAAGGGUGCGUAGGCGGAUUGGUAAGUGCUUUGUGAAAUCCCACCGCUCAACGGCGGAAAUGCUUGGCAUACUG
rnacentral:rRNA from 1 species